CAGGGUAUAGCUAAAAAGGAUAGCAUUUCCCUUACACUGAAAAGUCAUUUGUGCAAAUCGAAUUACCCUGA
rnacentral:tRNA from 1 species